CAAGAUAAGAUCCAGUUUCCUUACAUACCAGAAGUCGGCCUAAAUAGUGCCCAAUUCUCUGCAUACCAUGCCCAGAGUGGUGAAGUGUUUGAUCCUCCAAAUCUCUAAGGAUGGAAAAGCAAACUGAGAGCAACCUCAUCUGCUCUUGAGAAAGAGAAAGAAAAGACAGGAACUAGUCCAACAGUUGAACUGCACUGAAUAGUUUAAUGCUACCCUUUUAACAGCUGGAAAUUUUUCAUGGAAUGGUUCCAACCACUCCUCAACUUGGGAAAAAAUCAUUCAGGGACCUUCUGCCUUACAAGCAAUUCAUAACCCCUGGCAAAGUUGAAUCUAAAAAAUAUACAACGUGCCUAUGAGUCAUCCUUAAAAUACUUUUCUUCAAUAAGCUUCUGUAAUGGGGAAAAAUUAUCAUUCCACAUAAGCUUCUGAGACUUGUUACCACUUUGCAGAUUGAAUAACCCUUGGAGACAAGGCAAUCUACCGGCUAGACAGCCUGGAAACAGCUUCCAGACCAAUCAGCUGCUGGGAAACAGUUUUUGGCCCAAUCACCCACCUGGAAACUGUACAUGGACCACUCGCUGUCUUCUAAGAACCACUUCUCCUAAAAUCUGCCACUGCUGCCUUGCAAACCAAACCAGAGAGAGAAAAUAUACCUGAAUUAUUUCUACACUGACCUUGUGAGUCCCAGCCCAUCUGUGCCCUUUUGACAAGUGCUUCAAACUCCAUGCCCCUCAGUGGAAUUCAUUCUGUAUUGAAUAAUUUUUUGGCCAAGCCCUAUCCUUUGUGGAAAGAGGUAAGGAAUAAAUACAUUUAAUAAUAUAUCA